AUUGAACGCUGGCGGCAGGCCUAACACAUGCAAGUCGAACGGUAACAGGAAGCAGCUUGCUGCUUCGCUGACGAGUGGCGGACGGGUGAGUAAUGUCUGGGAAACUGCCUGAUGGAGGGGGAUAACUACUGGAAACGGUAGCUAAUACCGCAUAACGUCGCAAGACCAAAGAGGGGGACCUUCGGGCCUCUUGCCAUCGGAUGUGCCCAGAUGGGAUUAGCGAGUAGGUGGGGUAACGGCUCACCUAGGCGACGAUCCCUAGCUGGUCUGAGAGGAUGACCAGCCACACUGGAACUGAGACACGGUGCAGACUCCUACGGGAGGCAGAAGUGGGGAAUAUUGCACAAUGGGCGCAAGCCUGAUGCAGCCAUGCCGCGUGUAUGAAGAAGGCCCUCGGGUUGUAAAGUACUUUCAGCGGGGAGGAAGGCGAUAAGGUUAAUAACCUUGUCGAUUGACGUUACCCGCAGAAGAAGCACCGGCUAACUCCGUGCCAGCCGCCGCGGUAA
rnacentral:rRNA from 1 species